CCUACGGGAGGCAGCAGUGAGGAAUAUUGGUCAAUGGACGAGAGUCUGAACCAGCCAAGUAGCGUGAAGGAUGACUGCCCUAUGGGUUGUAAACUUCUUUUAUAAAGGAAUAAAACGAGGCACGUGUGCCUUUUUGCAUGUACUUUAUGAAUAAGGAUCGGCUAACUCCGUGCCAGCAGCCGCGGUAAUACGGAGGAUCCGAGCGUUAUCCGGAUUUAUUGGGUUUAAAGGGCGCGUAGAUGGGUUGUUAAGUCAGUUGUGAAAGUUUGCGGCUCAACCGUAAAAUUGCAAUUGAUACUGGAAGUCUUGAGUAUAGUUGAGGUAGGCGGAAUUCGUGGUGUAGCGGUGAAAUGCUUAGAUAUCACGAAGAACCCCGAUUGCGAAGGCAGCUUACUAAACCGUAACUGACACUGAUGCGCGAAAGUGUGGGGAUCAAACAGGAUUAGAUACCCGUGUAGUC
rnacentral:rRNA from 1 species